rnacentral:lncRNA from 1 species
AUUGUCAGACUAACAAGGCUUACAUAAAUGUUAUCUUCACUAGAAUGGAAGAAAACUUGUGUGAUCACUUAGAGGAAAUCCUACAGAAUUGGCAAGUAUAAAACACUAGAGUUCCACCAAAAAAGACUUUGAAAUCAAAUAUGAAAAUGUAAGAAAAUGAGCUUCUUCCUGACUGUGAUUGUUCUUGAGAUGCCAGACAAGAUAGUGGUGGAAAACACAAUGCAGAUAUGGUGCUUACUCAUCUUCACUAUGCUGGUCAGAAGAAUGUGA